AUCCAGCCAUGCCGCGUGAUUGAUGAAGGCCUUAGGGUUGUAAAGAUCUUUCAGAUGGGAAGAUAAUGACGGUACCAUCAGAAGAAGCUCCGGCUAACUCCGUGCCAGCAGCCGCGGUAAUACGGAGGGAGCUAGCGUUGUUCGGAAUUACUGGGCGUAAAGCGUACGUAGGCGGACUAUUAAGUCAGAGGUGAAAUCCCAGGGCUCAACCCUGGAACUGCCUUUGAUACUGGUAGUCUAGAGGUCGAGAGAGGUGAGUGGAAUUCCGAGUGUAGAGGUGAAAUUCGUAGAUAUUCGGAGGAACACCAGUGGCGAAGGCGGCUCACUGGCUCGAUACUGACGCUGAGGUACGAAAGUGUGGGUAGCAAACAGGAUUGAAGAUACCCUGGUAGUGCCACACCGUAAACGAUGAAUGCUAAGUCGAUCAGGGGACUUGUCCUUUGGUGACGCAGUCUAACGCAUUAAGCAUUCCGCCUGGGGAGUACGGUCGCAAGAUUAAAACUCAAAGGAAAUUGGACGGAGG
rnacentral:rRNA from 1 species